rnacentral:rRNA from 1 species
CCUACGGGAGGCAGCAGUGGGGAAUAUUGGACAAUGGGCGGAAGCCUGAUCCAGCAACGCCGCGUGAGGGAUGACGGCCUUCGGGUUGUAAACCUCUUUCAGUACCGACGAAGCGCAAGUGACGGUAGGUACAGAAGAAGCACCGGCCAACUACGUGCCAGCAGCCGCGGUAAUACGUAGGGUGCGAGCGUUGUCCGGAAUUAUUGGGCGUAAAGGGCUCGUAGGCGGUUUGUCGCGUCGGGAGUGAAAACGCCGUGCUUAACACGGCGCUUGCUUUCGAUACGGGCAGACUAGAGGUAUGCAGGGGAGAACGGAAUUCCUGGUGUAGCGGUGAAAUGCGCAGAUAUCAGGAGGAACACCGGUGGCGAAGGCGGUUCUCUGGGCAUUACCUGACGCUGAGGAGCGAAAGUGUGGGGAGCGAACAGGAUUAGAUACCCUGGUAGUCCACACCGUAAACGUUGGGCGCUAGGUGUGGGGUCCAUUCCACGGAUUCCGUGCCGCAGUUACGCAUUAAGCGCCCCGCCUGGGGAGUACGGCCGCAAGGCUAAAACGUCAAAUGAAUUGACGG